UACGUAGGGUGCGAGCGUUUGUCCGGAAUUAUUGGGCGUAAAGAGCUCGUAGGCGGUUUGUCGCGUCGACUGUGAAACCCGAGGCUUAACCUCGGGCCUGCAGUCGAUACGGGCAGACUAGAGUUCGGUAGGGGAGACUGGAAUUCCUGGUGUAGCGGUGAAAUGCGCAGAUAUCAGGAGGAACACCGGUGGCGAAGGCGGGUCUCUGGGCCGAUACUGACGCUGAGGAGCGAAAGCGUGGGGAGCGAACAGG
rnacentral:rRNA from 1 species